GCUGGUGUAGUUUAGCCUGGCUAGAACAUGGUAGUCCAGCUUAAGCGGCGCUCAUAACGCCGAAGUCCGGAGUUCAAAUCUCCGCACCAGCA
rnacentral:tRNA from 1 species